rnacentral:rRNA from 1 species
AUUGAACGCUGGCGGCAUGCCUUACACAUGCAAGUCGAACGGCAGCACGGGAGCAAUCCUGGUGGCGAGUGGCGAACGGGUGAGUAAUAUAUCGGAACGUGCCCAGUCGUGGGGAUAACGUAGCGAAAGCUACGCUAAUACCGCAUACGAUCUAUGGAUGAAAGCGGGGGAUCGCAAGACCUCGCGCGAUUGGAGCGGCCGAUAUCAGAUUAGUAGUUGGUGAGGUAAAGGCUCACCAAGCCGACGAUCUGUAGCUGGUCUGAGAGGACGACCAG